AUGAACGCUGGCGGCGUGCCUAACACAUGCAAGUCGAACGGAGUCCAGCCUUUAAGACCUUCGGGUCAAAGAGGGGAAGACUGAGUGGCGGACGGGUGAGUAACACGUGGGCAACCUGGCUCAUAGAGGGGGAUAACAGAGAGAAAUUUCUGCUAAUACCGCAUAAGCACACACUGCCGCAUGGCAGAGGGUGAAAAGAGAAUCGCUAUGAGAUGGACCCGCGUCUGAUUAGCCAGUUGGCAGGGUAAGAGCCUACCAAAGCGACGAUCAGUAGCCGAUCUGAGAGGAUGGACGGCCACAUUGGGACUGAGACACGGCCCAAACUCCUACGGGAGGCAGCAGUGGGGGAUAUUGCACAAUGGGGGGAACCCUGAUGCAGCGACGCCGCGUGAGUGAAGAAGUAUUUCGGUAUGUAAAGCUCUAUCAGCAGGGAAGAUAAUGACAGUACCUGAAUAAGAAGCCCCGGCUAACUACGUG
rnacentral:rRNA from 1 species